AUUGAACGCUGGCGGCAUGCCUAACACAUGCAAGUCGAACGGCAGCACGGCAGUAGCAAUACUGUGGGUGGCGAGUGGCGGACGGGUGAGGAAUACGUCGGAAUCUGCCCAAUCGUGGGGGAUAACUAACCGAAAGGUUAGCUAAUACCGCAUACGACCGAGAGGUGAAAGCGGGGGACCGCAAGGCCUCGCGCGAUUGGAUGAGCCGACGUCGGAUUAGCUUGUUGGUGGGGUAAAGGCCUACCAAGGCAACGAUCCGUAGCUGGUCUGAGAGGAUGAUCAGCCACACUGGAACUGAGACACGGUCCAGACUCCUACGGGAGGCAGCAGUGGGGAAUUUUGGACAAUGGGCGCAAGCCUGAUCCAGCCAUGCCGCGUGAGUGAAGAAGGCCUCGGUU
rnacentral:rRNA from 1 species